CACAUCCCUACUUUUCUGCUUAAUUGCAUCACCUUUUCUUGUCCAAAUAUUUAAAGUGAAAUCAACAGUAAUGAUAAAAAUAACUACAUUUGCGUUACUUAUUAACAGUGUUCUAUGUUGGAACUGCUCCAUGCAUUUUCAUGGUUAUCUACAAAAAGCGUAUGAUGUGUAAUAAGAGAGCAAAAAGUCAUAAUGGUAGUGAUUUGGACAUUGAUUAUAAUUAUAUGACAUUUCAAAAGAUAACAUGGGUGUGCCUGUAUUAUGAGGAAAUGUCACUCUAAUAGAAAACAUAUACUAGUCAAAACAAUAAAAUAAACAUUUAUCAUCACAGAUUGAAUGAAAUAGAGCAUACUAAUUGUCUUGGAAGAUCCUAAGAAUAAGGCGGGAAACUUAAAUGGAAACUGAUUCAAUCUCAUAGUUGACAGAGAGGGCAAGGUCCUUAGUCUACACGUUCAUGGCUGUCUUUCCUCACCGCUGAGAUAUGAGACAUAUGAGAGUUAAUGAUUCGCCGGAGCGCUGGAACCAAAUUCACUAUUAGCAUCAGACGAGCGGCUCAGGACGACGUGAGUGGCUCUCAGAAAACUUGGUGAAGUAAAAGGCCAACAAGUGCACAGCAAACAUCGUGACUUCUUGCAGUGUCUCAGGAUCACACAGGAUAUCCCAAGGAUCUCCUGGCACAAGGCAGGGCACAAAACAGAGAACAAUGACCACACUACAGCCAAUUUAGAGAUGCCAAUCAGCUGACAACAAAUGUCUUUGGACUGGGGGAAGAAAUCAG